CCUCUGUCGAAGAACUCCACUCCGACAGCAACUCCUCCAUCGAAGCUCGGCGGCUCAACGCCUCAACGACGACAUUCCUCUCGGCGACUCCACUCCGCAAGUCCCCGGUCGCUCGCCACCCACUUCCCCGCUUGAAGCAGCUGAUCUCCCGCACUCUACCGAGAGUAUCGCUUGGAAAUGGUGCAGGAUUUCCUUGCGAAUCGCUAAAGCAAGACAACAAGGUUAAUUUGUUCGUGGAGUUUUUUGGGAAAUUGCUAUUAGAGUAAAAAUGAAAUUGUAACUAUAUCGUAUUUGGAUUGGAGGUUGAUAUGUAACUAUAUUGUGUUUGGAUGUACUGAGAUGUUUAUGUGUGUUUUCCACCUUCUAUUGUUCAUUAUGUAUUGCGUAUGUCCUUUUGUUUUUGGGAUGAACAUUGUAUUGUAUCUGUUCCUCAUCAUGUUCACUCAAGAAUGUACCUUUAUGUA